rnacentral:rRNA from 3 species
CCGUGAGGGAAAGAUGAAAAGGACUUUGGAAAGAGAGUUAAAAAGUACGUGAAACCGUUAAAAGGGAAACGAAUGGAGCUAGCAAUGCACCCCGUGAGAUUCAGCUGGUUGGUGGCUCGGCCGCGAUGUUUGCAGAUCUGAAUUGACUGCGGCUUUGUGGUUCGAACUCCCUGCCAUCGCACUUCUCGCGGGCGCGCGUCAACAUGGGUUGGGACCGGGUCUAAAAGGCACCGGCAAGGUAGGUCCGCACCUCCGGGUACGUACUGUUCUAGGCCGGCGCUCUAGCGGCCCGGGCCCGACCGAGGCGAUGCAGCACAUGCCUCUUGUGGCUGGGGUCCCGUUCUUCCGGUUGGUUGUCGACUGUGGUGGACUGCGUGCAGUGCACCGCGACUGCUGCCGGUCGCUUGGGCGGUGACUUCGCAUGAUGUGCUUAGGAUGUUGGCGGUCAUAUGGCUUCAUCCGACCCGUCUUGAAACACGGACCAAGGAGUCUACCAUAUGCGCGAGUCUUUGGGUGAUUGAAACCCGCGGGCACAAUGAAAGUGAAGGCGGCUCCGGCCUGCCGAGGUGAGAACCUCCCCUCUCGGGGUGGCGCAUCAUCGACCGACCUAUUCUACUCUUAGGAAGGUUUGAGUAAGAGCGCAUUUGAUGGGACCCGAAAGAUGGUGAACUAUGCCUGAAUAGGGUGAAGCCAGAGG